rnacentral:rRNA from 1 species
GACGAACGCUGGCGGCGUGCUUAACACAUGCAAGUCGAACGGAAAGGCCCUGCUUUUGUGGGGUUCUCGAGUGGCGAACGGGUGAGUAACCCGGGAGUCACCUGCCCUUGACUUUGGGAUAACUUCAGGAAACUGGGGCUACUACCUGAUAGGAGCUCCUGCUGCAUGGUGGGGGUUGGAAAGUUUCGGCGGUUAGGGAUGGACUCGCGGGUUAUCAGCUUGUUGGUGGGGUAGUGGCUUACCCAGGCUUUGACGGGUAGCCGGCCUGAGAGGGUGGCCGGCGACAUGGGGACUGAGAUACGGCCCAGACUCGUACGGGAGGCAGUAGGGGGGAAUCUUGCACAAUGGGCGGAAGCGUGAGGCAGCAACGCCGCGUGCGGGAUGACGGCUUUCGGGGUGUAAACCGCUUUAGCCUGUGACGAAGCGGGAGUGACGGUAAUGGGUAAAGAAGCACCGGCUAACUACGUG